UACGUAGGGAGCAAGCGUUGUCCGGAAUUACUGGGCGUAAAGGGCGCGUAGGCGGGUAAUUAAGUCAGAUGUGAAAGCUCCGGGCUCAACUUGGAGAGUGCAUUUGAAACUGGUUAUCUUGAGGGCAGGAGAGGAAAGUGGAAUUCCUAGUGUAGCGGUGGAAUGCGUAGAUAUUAGGAGGAACACCAGUGGCGAAGGCGACUUUCUGGACUGUACCUGACGCUGAGGCGCGAAAGCAUGGGGAGCGAACAGGAUUAGAUACCCUGGUAGUCCAUGCCGUAAACGAUGAAUACUAGGUGUAGGAGGUAUCGACCCCUUCUGUGCCGCAGUUAACACAAUAAGUAUUCCGCCUGGGGAGUACGGCCGCAAGGUUGAA
rnacentral:rRNA from 1 species